rnacentral:rRNA from 1 species
AUUGAACGCUGGCGGCAGGCCUAACACAUGCAAGUCGAGCGAGCGGCGGACGGGUGCGUAAUGUAUGGGGACUGCCCGAUAGAGGGGGAUAACUACUGGAAACGGUAGCUAAUACCGCAUACUAUCGGAUAACCCAUAUGGGAUUAGCUAGUAGGGGAGGUAAUGGCUCACCUAGGCGACGAUCCCUAGCUGGUCUGAGAGGAGGAUCGGCCACACGGGGACUGAGACACGGCCCAGACUCCUACGGAGGCAGCAGUGGGGAAUGUUGCACAAGGGGCGCAAGCCUGAUGCAGCCUUGGCGCGGGUAUGAAGAAGGCCCUAGGGUUGUAAAGUACUUUCAGUCGGGAGGCGUUACCGACAGAAGAAGCACCGGCUAACUCCGUGCCAGCCGCCGCGGUAAUUC